rnacentral:rRNA from 1 species
GUUAGGAAUAUUGGACAAUGGGCGCAAGCCUGAUCCAGCCAUGCCGCGUGAGUGAUGAAGGCCUUCGGGUUGUAAAGCUCUUUAGUCCACGAAUAUAAUGACUGUAGUGGAAGAAUAAGCCCCGGCUAACUUCGUGCCAGCAGCCGCGGUAAUACGAAGGGGGCGAGCGUUAUUCGGAAUCACUGGGCGUAAAGCGUGCGUAGGCUGUUUUGUAAGUCAGAAGUGAAAGCCCAGGGCUUAACCCUGGAAUUGCUUUUGAAACUACAAGACUCGAAUUCGGGAGAGGAUAGCGGAAUUGUCAGUGUAGCAGUGAAAUGCGUAGAUAUUGACAGGAACACCAGUGGCGCAAGCGGCUAUCUGGACCGAUAUUGACGCUGAGGCACGAAAGCGUGGGGAGCAAACAGGAUUAGAAACCCGUGUAGUC